UACGGAGGGUGCGAGCGUUGUUCGGAAUUACUGGGCGUAAAGGGCGCGUAGGCGGCCUGUUGCGUCAGGUGUGAAAGCCCCGGGCUCAACCUGGGAUGUGCACUUGAUACGGGCGGGCUGGAAUCCGGGAGAGGAUGGUGGAAUUCCCAGUGUAGAGGUGAAAUUCGUAGAUAUUGGGAAGAACACCGAUGGCGAAGGCAGCCAUCUGGACCGGCAUUGACGCUGAGGCGCGAAAGCGUGGGGAGCAAACAGG
rnacentral:rRNA from 1 species